rnacentral:sRNA from 1 species
GCAUAAGUCAACCAAGUAGUGGGUCAGCUAGUCAGUAGCAGCCGCCACUUCAAGGAGACCAGUGCAGGAGCCGUUCAGAAGGGGCGCAUCUCAGUCGGCCAUACAUGGUGGAGAUGCACCCAGGCGCACAUAGUACAAUGAAGAGUCGCAGCUCACAGGUCGUCUCCGAAGGACAGUAUAACCUGUGAAAUAUACAAGAACAGAGGGUUAUGUGUUCCAGUCAAGCAGCCGUGCCAAACCGUGGCAGUUACGCUUAAUUUGACCUUUUGUCCUGUUUGGAAGUCAGGGCAGACAGUGGUUGAGCAGAGGCCAUUACAAGUGACACGGCAGACACCUCUAUCAACUUCUUCUGGCGUGCGCUGUGCUGACAUCGAGCGAUAGAAAGCCAACAACAUGCAGAUUUUAUUAAUGUAGUUGGUACUGCGAAAGCUCAAUGAAGUUGAAAUUACGAAAGA